AUUGAACGCUGGCGGCAGGCCUAACACAUGCAAGUCGAGCGGAUGAAGGGAGCUUGCUCCUGGAUUCAGCGGCGGACGGGUGAGUAAUGCCUAGGAAUCUGCCUGGUAGUGGGGGAUAACGUCCGGAAACGGGCGCUAAUACCGCAUACGUCCUGCGGGAGAAAGUGGGGGAUCUUCGGACCUCACGCUAUCAGAUGAGCCUAGGUCGGACUAGCUAGUUGGUGGGGUAAAGGCCUACCAAGGCGACGAUCCGUAACUGGUCUGAGAGGAUGAUCAGUCACACUGGAACUGAGACACGGUCCAGACUCCUGCGGGAGGCAGCAGUGGGCAAUAUUGGACAAUGGGCGAAAGCCUUAUCCAGCCAUGCCGCGUGUGUGAAGAAGGUCUUCGGAUUGUAAAGCACUUUAAGUUGGGAGGAAGGGCAGUAAGUUAAUACCUUGCUGUUUUGACGUUACCAACAGAAUAAGCACCGGCUAACUUCGUG
rnacentral:rRNA from 1 species